rfam:Methanococcoides burtonii DSM 6242, complete genome.
UAGUCAGAUUCAAAGGUCCCAGAUACACAGUCAGGCCACGAGAAGACAAUGACAACCCUCCUUCCAGCAUUCGCCGGAUGUAACACCAUCUACGGUGGAG